GGACGGGUGAGUAACACGUGGGCAACCUGCCUGUAAGACUGGGAUAACUCCGGGAAACCGGGGCUAAUACCGGAUAAUUCAUUCCCUCUCAUGAGGGAAUGCUGAAAGACGGUUUCGGCUGUCACUUACAGAUGGGCCCGCGGCGCAUUAGCUAGUUGGUGAGGUAACGGCUCACCAAGGCCACGAUGCGUAGCCGACCUGAGAGGGUGAUCGGCCACACUGGGACUGAGACACGGCCCAGACUCCUACGGGAGGCAGCAGUAGGGAAUCUUCCGCAAUGGACGAAAGUCUGACGGAGCAACGCCGCGUGAGCGAUGAAGGCCUUCGGGUCGUAAAGCUCUGUUGUUAGGGAAGAACAAGUAUCGGAGUAACUGCCGGUACCUUGACGGUACCUAACCAGAAAGCCACGGCUAACUACGUGCCAGCAGCCGCGGUAAUACGUAGGUGGCAAGCGUUGUCCGGAAUUAUUGGGCGUAAAGCGCGCGCAGGCGGUCCUUUAAGUCUGAUGUGAAAGCCCACGGCUCAACCGUGGAGGGUCAUUGGAAACUGGGGGACUUGAGUGCAGAAGAGGAGAGUGGAAUUCCACGUGUAGCGGUGAAAUGCGUAGAGAUGUGGAGGAACACCAGUGGCGAAGGCGACUCUCUGGUCUGUAACUGACGCUGAGGCGCGAAAGCGUGGGGAGCGAACAGGAUUAGAUACCCUGGUAGUCCACGCCGUAAACGAUGAGUGCUAAGUGUUAGAGGGUUUCCGCCCUUUAGUGCUGCAGCAAACGCAUUAAGCACUCCGCCUGGGGAGUACGGCCGCAAGGCUGAAACUCAAAGGAAUUGACGGGGGCCCGCACAAGCGGUGGAACCUGGUGGUUUAAUUCGAAGCAACGCGAAGAACCUUACCAGGUCUUGACAUCCUCUGACACCUCUGGAGACAGAGCUUUCCCCUUCGGGGGACAAAAUGACAGGGGGGGCAUGGUUGUCCUCAGCUCCUGUCCUGAAAAGUUUGGGUUAAGUCCCGCAACGAGCGCAACCCUUGUCCUUAGUUGCCAGCAUUCAGUUGGGCACUCUAAGGAAACUGCCGUGACAACCCGGAGGAAAAGGGGAUGCGUCAAAUCAUCAGGCCCCUUAUGACCGGGGCUACCACGGGCU
rnacentral:rRNA from 1 species